rnacentral:rRNA from 1 species
AAUGAACGCUGGCGGCGUGCCUAAGACAUGCAAGUCGAGCGAGAACACCGUAAGGGUGGUCUGCUGCGGAUGGCGCGGGAAGGAUGAGUGACACAUCCAUCAGCUUCGUCUUAGCCGUGGGUAACUUCGGGUAACAACUGAUAAUACCACCGAAUAUAAUGUACGGUUCGGAUCAAGGGUGAGUCUGAGUUUUCUUGUCUCAUUGAGGUGGUACCGGAUUAGCUAGGUGGGGGGGUAAAGGCCCACCAAGGCGACGAUCCGUAGCUGGGCUGAGAGGAUGAUCAGCCACACUGGAACUGAGACACGGUCCAGACUCCUACGGGAGGCAGCAGUGGGGAAUAUUGGACAAUGGGCGCAAGCCUGAUCCAGCAAUACCGCGUGGGUGAAGAAGGCCUUCGGGUUGUAAAGCCCUUUUGUUAGGAAAGAAAAGAUGCAGGUGAAUACCCCCAUGUUUUGACGGUACCCAAAGAAUAAGCACCGGCUAACUUCGUG